UACGGAGGGUGCAAGCGUUAUCCGGAUUCACUGGGUUUAAAGGGUGCGUAGGUGGCUUUGUAAGUCAGUGGUGAAAUCUUAGAGCUUAACUCUAAAACUGCCAUUGAUACUGCUUAGCUUUGAAUCAAGUAGAGGUGGAUGGAAUAUUACAUGUAGCGGUGAAAUGCUUAGAUAUGUAAUAGAACACCGAUUGCGAAGGCAGUUCACUAUGCUUGUAUUGACACUGAGGCACGAAAGCGUGGGGAUCAAACAGG
rnacentral:rRNA from 1 species